AGCCAACUCCUAGCCCCUAGGUCAACCCUACAACUAGCCAGCACUGGCAGUCUUCGCCAUGCAAUUGUUUGGGAAUGCAGCCCAAAUCGGGCGGUAAAUUCCGUCCAAGGCUAAAUACGGGCGAGAGACCGAUAGCAAACAAGUACCGCGAGG
rnacentral:ncRNA from 1 species